AUGACAUUGGCGUUGAAAGGGCAGUAGACACAGAAACGGAGCCAUUCCAUGUUUCACACCUGGGAGAGAUGUUCAAAAGAAAAAACAACAACCAAUAUUGGGUUAGAACAGAUGUCGAGGGGACAUUAGUGGAUGCUAAUAUUGCUUCAAGCAAGGAAGAAGGUCAGAACAAUGAAGGUUGUGGCGAAGAAGUAGAAACCUAAUCCUAAAGUAUCUGUUGUGAAGGCAGAGAGGAAAACUUGCAGCAGACAUACCAAACCUCCACCUUCCAUUGCAUUAGUGCAUAUAUUUGGAGUUAAUGCUUAGUCUUUUUACCAGAAUUUUCAGUUGGAAUAAAAUGAACAUUUUCUA